UCCGAAUUAAGAAAUACAAACAAUGAUCCCAAAAUGUCCAGGAAGAGAAAAGUUGAUGCAGAUGGAAAGCUGUUUCUAGAAAGAUGGGAAGGCGAAAUAUAUGUUUGUGCUUCAAGGAGAAAAACCGGAAUGUGUUUUGUGUUAUGAAGCAGUGUCGGUUGUCAAAGAGUACAAUCUACUGUGUUUGGUGACCAAACACGGAGCUGAGGAUGUGUUCAAGAGAGCCACAACCAAACACAAUGCGGCGGUGAAAGCCAGCUUUAUUGUGGCUGAAGAAAUCGCCCGCGCUGCAAAGUCUUUUUCUGCAAAGUGCAUUUUUGAAGCAGUGCAUGCUGAAGGUCUGUGAGCAGGUGUGUCCCGACCAGAUACAGACUUUUAACUCCACUCAUUGUGGACCGAGUUAAGGAACUAGCUAGCAGAAAAACCUGCUAAACACAGCUGGCCGAAGAGACACGCAGCUACAAAGCUUUUUCAUUAGCUCUUGAUGAAAGCACAGACAACACGGAUGCAGCGCAGCUCUCUGUUUUUUAUUAGAGGCGUUAAGUCGGACCUUUCUGUCACCGAGGAGCUGUUGGAUGCAGCUGCCAACAACAACAGGACGGGACAGUUUUGAUGCGGUGAAGUCCGUAAGUAAAAAAAAAAUGCAUUGCCCUGGGAAAAGGUGGUGGGAUUAACUACAGACGGUGCACCUGCAAUGUGUGGAGGAAAAGCGGGUUUUGUUGGACUAAUGAAGGAGAAAAUGCAAAAAAAAAAGUAACUGUCACAAGCCUCUGAUGACGUAUCAUUGCAUUAUCCAUCAAGGAGCUUUGUGUGGGAAGGUGCUGGGGAUGAAUGAUAUAGUGACCACAGUCAUGAAAACAGUGAACUUCCUUCGGGCGCGUGGCCUAAAUCAUCGUCAGCUCCAGCUGUUCUUGCAGGAGAUGGAGCAGGGCGACGUGCCGUACCAUACAGAAGUACGGUGGCUGAGUAGGAGCAAAGUCCUGAAACGAUUUUUUGAGCUUAGGGAAGAUAUUGCUCUUUUCAAGCAGAGUAAAGGAAAACCCCUUGUCUGAACUGUCAGAUCCAAACUGGCUGUGUGACUUUGCUUUGUUGUGUGACGUAACUGAGCAUCACGCGGCUUUCCAGCGUAAACUUGAUCUAUGGAUGUACCACGUGAAACAGGACAAUCUUGCCCACUUUCCUGUUUGUCGGAGCAUCUCAGCCGCAUUUCCUGGUACUUUUUCAUGUACUCAGCUGGCUGCCAAACUGAGCCGGUUAAUGGAUGAGUUUGAUCUCUGACCUUAGAGCACAGCACUCAGGCUUUGCCAUCUUUGCCAAUCCUUUCACCACCGACGUCUGCACUGCACCCCAACAUCUUCAGAUGGAGUUAAUACAGCUUCAAAGCGAUAGUGGCCUGAGAGCAAAGUUCCAGAAUGCUGCAAUCCAGGACUUUUACCGCCAACUAUCCCCUGGUUUGAUGCCACAGCUUCACGCUGCCCGUGUUCUGUCUGUGUAUGGGAGCACCUUUCUGUGCUGAGCAGAUGUUUUCAAUCAUGAAUCUAAACAAGACCAAGCACAGAUCACGCAUCACUGAAGACAACCUCCAUGCUGUUCUGCCUCAGCACAAGACCUAAAACCAGACUGACACACUGGCGAUGGAAAAAAGGUGUCAGAUAUCUGGUCAGAAAAACACAUAGAACAUGAUCAAGGGAUGAGGAAGGUGGAGAGAGGAUUCAUGUGGCAGCAUCUCCUCAUCAACUUCACCUUAAAACUUGACCAAUAUAGGUGUGAACUGAGACAACCCUUGUGUUGUUAUUUUGAGUUUAUUACAUAUACUACGUUAUAUGUGUAGUAAUGUAUUUAGUGUUUGCAGGUUUAUGUGUUGAUGCAGACAAAUGUUCACUGUCAUCAAACCAUCAUUAGUUGGAUGUUUCCCCCUUGCAAAGCUGUGUGCAGCCAUUUGUUUGUGUAAAAUGCUUCACCUGUCACACACGUUCUUAGCAGCUCACAAUUGUUGGUUGGACCGUUAUUCUGCUCCUCUCAACUAUGACAAAACAGUUUUGAACAAAGUUAAUGUCAUAACUUGUUAUUUAUCCUUCUUCACUUGGAUAGUUUGAUCGUUGAUUGAUGGAGUGAUGUGGGUUUCAUAAACUGACAAAUUAAAAGGAUUUAUGUUACAACAGAGCAACAACCAAACAUUUCCUUUUACAUUUAUGCAAAUAUAUAUGUAAUAUUUGUAAGUUGAAUAAUAAAAAUCCAGAGUUAUUUAA